CCUACGGGAGGCAGCAGUGAGGAAUAUUGGUCAAUGGGCGCGAGCCUGAACCAGCCAAGUCGCGUGAGGGAAGACGGUCCUAUGGAUUGUAAACCUCUUUUGUCGGGGAGCAAAAGACGCCACGCGUGGCGUUCCGAGAGUACCCGACGAACAAGCAUCGGCUAACUCCGUGCCAGCAGCCGCGGUAAUCCGGAGGAUGCGAGCGUUAUCCGGAUUUAUUGGGUUUAAAGGGUGCGCAGGCGGAAGAUCAAGUCAGCGGUAAAAUUGAGAGGCUCAACCUCUUCGAGCCGUUGAAACUGGUUGUCUUGAGUGAGCGAGAAGUAGGCGGAAUGCGUGGUGUAGCGGUGAAAUGCAUAGAUAUCACGCAGAACUCCGAUUGCGAAGGCAGCAUACCGGCGCGCAACUGACGCUCAUGCACGAAAGUGUGGGUAUCGAACAGGAUUAGAUACCCCAGUAGUC
rnacentral:rRNA from 1 species